rnacentral:rRNA from 1 species
GUAGGUGGCAAGCGUUGUCCGGAUUUAUUGGGUUUAAAGGGUGMGUAGGCGGCCCUGUAAGUCAGUUGUGAAAUACGGCAGCUUAACUGUCGAGGUGCAAUUGAUACUGCAGGGCUUGAGUACUGAUGAGGUAGGCGGAAUGGACGGUGUAGCGGUGAAAUGCUUAGAGAUCGUCCAGAACACCGAUAGCGAAGGCAGCUUACUAAGGAGUAACUGACGCUGAGGCACGAAAGUGUGGGGAUCAAACAGGAUUAGAUACCCUGGUAGUCCACACUGUAAACGAUGAUUACUCGAUGUGUGCGAUACACAGCACGCGUCUUAGCAAAAGCGAUAAGUAAUCCACCUGGGGAGUACGCCGGCAACGGUG